CCUACGGGAGGCAGCAGUAGGGAAUCUUCCGCAAUGGGCGAAACCCUGACGCAGCAACGCCGCGUGGGGGAUGAAGGUUUUCGGAUUGUAAACUCCUGUUGUUAGGGAAGAUAAUGACGGUAUCUAACGAAUAAGCACCGGCUAACUCCGUACCAGCAGCCGCGGUAAUACGGAGGGUGCAAGCGUUACUCGGAAUCACUGGGCGUAAAGAGCGCGUAGGCGGGAUAGUAAGUCAGAUGUGAAAGCCCAUGGCUUAACCAUAGAACUGCAUUUGAAACUGUAAUUCUAGAGUAUGGGAGAGGUAGGUGGAAUUCCUGGUGUAGGGGUAAAAUCCGCAGAGAUCAAGAGGAAGACCCAUUGCGAAGGCGACCUGCUAGAACAUAACUGACGCUGAUGUGCGAAAGCGUGGGGAGCAAACAUGAUUAGAUACCCGUGUAGUC
rnacentral:rRNA from 1 species